rnacentral:rRNA from 1 species
UACGGAGGGUGCAAGCGUUAAUCGGAAUUACUGGGCGUAAAGCGCGCGUAGGCGGACCUGCAAGUCGGGGGUGAAAGCCCGAGGCUCAACCUCGGAACUGCCUUCGAUACUGCGGGUCUCGAGUCCGGGAGAGGUGAGUGGAAUUCCUAGUGUAGAGGUGAAAUUCGUAGAUAUUAGGAAGAACACCAGUGGCGAAGGCGGCUCACUGGCCCGGUACUGACGCUGAGGCGCGAAAGCGUGGGGAGCAAACAGG